rnacentral:rRNA from 1 species
GAUGAACGCUGGCGGCGUGCCUAAUACAUGCAAGUCGAGCGAACGGACGAGAAGCUUGUUUCUCUGAUGUUAGCGGCGGACGGGUGAGUAACACGUGGAUAACCUACCUAUAAGACUGGGCUAACUUCGGGAAACCGGAGCUAAUACCGGAUGAUAUUUUGAACCGCAUGUUUCAAAAGUGAAAGACGGUCUUGCUGUCACUUAUAGAUGGAUCCGCUCUGCAUUAGCUAGUUGGUAAGGUAACGGCUUACCAAGGCAACGAUGCAUAGCCGCCCUAAGAGGGUGAUCGGCCACACUGGAACUAAGACACGCGCCCGACUCCUACGGGAGGCAGCAGUAGGGAAUCUUCCGCAGUGGGCGGAAGCCUGAAGGAGCAAAGCCGCGUGAGUGAUGCAGGUCUUCGGAUCGUAAAACUCUGUUAUUAGGGAAGAACAUAUGUGUAAGUAACUGUGCACAUCUUGACGGUACCUAAUCAGAAAGCCACGGCUAACUACGUG